CUGAAACGGCCAAGGUUCCUGUGGGUUAUUUCCAUCUGGAGCACUGUGUGGUUGAGCUAGUGAGCAAUCCUAUAAAUUGUACGAAUCCCUCAAAUACAAACCCUGCAUAAUCCUUCACAAAAACAAGCCGGCCUGAGCCUGCCCUUCCUGGGGCCAAGAAUGCAUCUCUCUUUUCCCACACUGGGAGGGACUCAUGGCACAGCAAACGCGGCUGGCACUGAGGAUCUCAGGGGGCCUGACGUGAUCCAGCUUCUGGAGAGACCAGCUGUGCUUAGGAGGUGGUUAGGAGAAGUGGGAAGCAAUCUUGCAGGAGCCUGGAAUUUGAGGUGAAAAUGAGAGGAAGAUGAAGAGGACAAUGGGACUCUGUCACCACAGGCCUUGGGAGCCAGGGAAGUCCCAGCGCUGCUAGAAACAUGGGAGAAGCGUUAACACGCCGCAGGGCUUGCUCUGCUCACACUCACAAAACAGUGGUGUCAGCACGGCUGUGACCCAGCCCUGGAGACGACUCACAGAACAUCUGGGAAACCUGCCUCAUUACCGCGACAGCCAGCACGGAGACUUUGAUGAAAGGCCCUCCCCUGAAUACCAUCAGAAGAAAUGCUGUGCCCUGCGUAGCCAGGCGUUUCUGCAGAAGGCACCGUGCACUGUCCAGCAGGAGGCCGGCCCUUCAGGACUCAGAGGCAGAAGCGUCUGGGGAGGGAGCACCAGCCUCCAAGAGGCUCUGAGUGUCCAAAGCCCAUGUGUGACCCGCGAUUUGACUCACACGUGGGAAGAGGGAGCGAGGUGCCCCCACUUGCCCCCGGGUUCAUCCUGCGUGGGGCCGCCUAUCCCUGCGGGCCGGUCCUGGAGAGAGAGUGGACAGAGUCUUCCCUGGGCGCCCCCCUAG
rnacentral:lncRNA from 10 species